rfam:Rattus norvegicus chromosome 3, whole genome shotgun sequence.
UGGCCCGCCACGUGCUCUCAGCUGGCCUGUAUGGCAAGCCUCCCCCUGCUUCCCCUGCUAGCCUUGAGUGUAGGCGCCUUGAGGCAAGGCCCUCUAG